AUGGCCCCAGCUCCUCCUCCCAAUGGGAAGAGCCAUGGCCCAGGGACCCUGAGUCUCAUUCCUAGGAGGAAGGCAGGGGGCAGGGGAGCACUGCAGAGCAGGGGUAGCCAGAGGAGAAUGGGGACGAAGGGGAGAAGAUUAGAAGGAAUUGUCUGCUUGUCCUCCCGGGGAGGGUCAUACCGGCUUAUCCAGCGCCUUGGGGAAAGGCGUGCCGCUGGAGGAGGAGAUCUUUCUGCACACCGUGUUGGUGUGGGUCUGACAGCGGCAGCCGGGGCGUUUCAGGCCAUCAUAACCCCGCUGGCAAAGUUUGAGGCACCCCAAGGUGGGAAAGUAGCAGCAGAGGCAGGGCAUGAGGAGGGAGAGGAAGCUCAUGGCAGCCCAGCGGGCACAGCAGGAGCCCGGCCCGCAGGAGCAUGGGUCGUCAGCGCAGGUGUCCUCGUCAUCGCUGGAGCAGUGGUAGAAGAGGCCCUUGACGCAGCAGAGACAAGUCCCGUAGUCGAGGAGGCUCUCUGGGGAGCACAGGCAGCGCUGAUUGCACAGCCAGCAGGAGGGCAGGCCGCGGGCGGCCGUGCAGCGGGCACACUUGCAGCGCCCGCACUCCUCGCAGACGAAGAGGUGCCCGCCGUGCAGGCUGCCCUUCUCCACCGCCCCUUUCAAGGGAGAUUCCUCCGCUUUCAGCUCGCCGGCCCUGGGCUGCGUCCGGAUGAGCGAGUGGCCCGAGUGGGACGGCGUCAGGGCGCUGAGCAGGCGCUGCUCGGAGGCUGUGGUGCUCUGGGACACGGAGCUGGCCGUGCUGGAGUGGCUCAUGGCUUGCUGCAAGGGCGGCAUGUGGGGCUGCUGGCUGUGACUGCGGUGCAGGUCCUGCAGCGUGGAGGAUGCCAGGCGGUCCUGAGUCCACUCCUGCUUGUGCGGUGGCUGCGAGAGGGACGGGUUGGAGCGGGCUUGCUGGAAGCAGGUGGCUGGCCUCUCCACGUAGUUGUUGCUGGCACGGAUGGAGCGGAUUUGGUCGAUGGACAGGACCUGCUGGAAUUCUUCAGCCGGGGGUUCCAUCGUCUCGUCACAGCUGAGUUCAGCCACGCUGGAAGAGAGCUGCAUCGCCAGGAACUGGGGGAGCCUGCGGCAUCAGGGCACAUCUAA
rnacentral:lncRNA from 1 species